rnacentral:rRNA from 1 species
UACGUAGGGGGCAAGCGUUGUCCGGAUUUACUGGGCGUAAAGAGCGUGUAGGCGGCCAAACAGGUCCGUUGUGAAAACUGGAGGCUUAACCUCCAGACGUCGACGGAAACCGUGUGGCUAGAGUCCGGAAGAGGAAAGUGGAAUUCCUGGUGUAGCGGUGAAAUGCGCAGAUAUCAGGAAGAACACCCGUGGCGAAGGCGGCUUUCUGGGACGGUACUGACGCUGGAGACGCGAAAGCGUGGGGAGCGAACAGG